UUGAAUGGCCGCAGUAUAUUGACUGUGCUAAGGUAGCAUAAUAAUUAGUUUUUUAAUUGAAAACUGGAAUGAAGGGUUGGACGAAAAAGAAGCUGUCUAUAAUUAAUUUAAUAAAAUUUUAUAUUUAAGUUAAAAAGCUUAAAUUUUUUUAAAAGACGAGAAGACCCUGUAGAGUUUAAUAAUUAAUAAAUUUAAAUUUAUUUAGAAUAAGUAUAUUUAAAUUAAAUUAAUUAUUUAGUUGGGGUGAUUUAAAAAUUUAAUAAACUUUUUAUAUAUUUUUAUAUUGAUUUAUAAUUAUUUGAUCUGCUAUUAUUGAUUAUAAGAUUAAAUUACCUUAGGGAUAACAGCGUAAUUUUAUUUGAAAGUU
rnacentral:rRNA from 1 species